AAGAGGACUACUUAGAACCAAAACUUGUUUUUUGCUUUGUUUUUCUUUAUUGAUUUCUUUCUUUCUCGUCAGCGGAGUCAGCAGAUAAAUGACACACAAAGCUGAGAGACUGGAGAGCAGGAAACCUUACACCUUUCUAUGAAAGCCACACGUGCACAGUGUCAACAGAGCUCCUGGUCAUAUUGGAAAAAUUGCUGAAGAAGGCUGCCUGGAGUUGAGCCGAUACUUCUUCCUAUGGCCAUAAAAAAGAAUCCUUAUUUUGGCCAUGGGGCCUCAGGAGAAGCCCUCGUGAGAGAGGAAUCCACGCUAACCCUAUGUUGUACCUAGGACUGGCUUCUCCUAAGACAGUGGUUCUCGAACUCCAGUGUGCAUUA